ACGUGGGGAACCCUGCCCCAUAGUCUGGGAUACCACUUGGAAACAGGUGCUAAUACCGGAUAAGAAAGCGGAUCGCAUGAUCAGCUUUUAAAAGGCGUCGUAAGCUGUCGCUAUGGGAUGGCCCCGCGGUGCAUUAGCUAGUUGGUAAGGUAAAGGCUUACCAAGGCGAUGAUGCAUAGCCGAGUUGAGAGACUGAUCGGCCACACUGGGACUGAGACACGGCCCAAACUCCUACGGGAGGCAGCAGGG
rnacentral:rRNA from 1 species